rnacentral:rRNA from 1 species
AUUUAAAAUCUGGUGGUCUUUGGCCAUCCGAGUUGUAAUCUAGAGAAGUGUUACCCGCGUCGGACCGUGUACAAGUCUCCUGGAAUGGAGCGUCAUAGAGGGUGAGAAUCCCGUCUUUGACACGGACUACCGAGGCUUUGUGGUGCGCUCUCAAAGAGUCGAGUUGUUUGGGAAUGCAGCUCAAAAUGGGUGGUAAAUUCCAUCUAAAGCUAAAUAUUGGCGAGAGACCGAUAGCGAACAAGUACCGUGAGGGAAAGAUGAAAAGAACUUUGGAAAGAGAGUUAAACAGUACGUGAAAUUGCUGAAAGGGAAACGCUUGAAGUCAGUCGCGUUAGCCGGAAAUCAGCCUUGCUUUUGCUGGGUGUAUUUUCUGGUUGACGGGCCAGCAUCAGUUUUGACCGGUGGAAAAAGUCUAAAGGAAUGUGGCAUCUUCGGAUGUGUUAUAGCCUUUGGUCGUAUACAUCGAUUGGGACUGAGGAACUCAGCACUGCUUAGGAUGCUGGCAUAAUGGCUUUAAUCGACCCGUCUUGAAACACGGACCAAGGAGUCUAACAUGCCUGCGAGUGUUUGGGUGGAAAACCCGGACGCGCAAUGAAAGUGAAAGUUGAGAUCCUUGUCAUGGGGAGCAUCGACGCCCGGACCAGAAGUUUUCUGACGGCCCUGCGGUAGAGCAUGUAUGUUGGGACCCGAAAGAUGGUGAACUAUGCCUGAAUAGGGUGAAGCCAGAGGAAACUCUGGUGGAGGCUCGUAGC